rnacentral:pre_miRNA from 1 species
UCUUCAUUUCGCGCACUCUCUCGCCUCUCUGACCGGUGAGAGAGCACGUGAAAUGAAGAGA